AGUGAACGCUGGCGGUAGGCCUAACACAUGCAAGUCGAACGGCAGCACAGUAAGAGCUUGCUCUUACGGGUGGCGAGUGGCGGACGGGUGAGGAAUACAUCGGAAUCUACUUUUUCGUGGGGGCUAACGUAGGGAAACUUACGCUAAUACCGCAUACGACCUACGGGUGCAAGCAGGGGAUCUUCGGACCUUGCGCGAUUGAAUGAGCCGAUGUCGGAUUAGCUAGUUGGCGGGGUAAAGGCCCACCAAGGCGACGAUCCGUAGCUGGUCUGAGAGGAUGAUCAGCCACACUGGAACUGAGACACGGUCCAGACUCCUGCGGGAGGCAGCAGUGGGGAAUAUUGGACAAUGGGCGCAAGCCUGAUCCAGCCAUGCCGCGUGGGUGAAGAAGGCCUUCGGGUUGUAAAGCCCUUUUGUUGGGAAAGAAAAGCAGCAGGUUAAUACCCCGCUGUUCUGACGGUACCCAAAGAAUAAGCACCGGCUAACUUCGUG
rnacentral:rRNA from 1 species